rnacentral:rRNA from 1 species
GACGAACGCUGGCGGCGUGCUUAACACAUGCAAGUCGAACGGAAAGGCCCUGCGUUUGUGGGGUGCUCGAGUGGCGAACGGGUGAGUAACACGUGAGUAACCUGCCCUUGACUUUGGGAUAACUUCAGGAAACUGGGGCUAAUACCGGAUAGGAGCUCCUGCUGCAUGGUGGGGGUUGGAAAGUUUCGGCGGUUGGGGAUGGACUCGCGGCUCAUCAGCUUGUUGGUGGGGUAGUGGCUUACCAAGGCUUUGACGGGUAGCCGGCCUGAGAGGGUGACCGGCCACAUUGGGACUGAGAUACGGCCCAGACUCCUACGGGAGGCAGCAGUGGGGAAUAUUGCACAAUGGGCGGAAGCCUGAUGCAGCAACGCCGCGUGCGGGAUGACGGCCUUCGGGUUGUAAACCGCUUUCGCCUGUGACGAAGCGUGAGUGACGGUAAUGGGUAAAGAAGCACCGGCUAACUACGUG